AGUCCUUUCUCAUACAUAUACAUCUGUACAGGAAGGUUUAAAACUCUUAGGGUCAUGCAUAAUUUAUCAACACUCUCACGAUUCUUCCAGGUUUCAUUUCUGCAGGUGUUAAUUUUGUUGAUUUUAAGGCACCACUGGUUGUGGUGGGGAUGCAACCUGCACCUGAUGGACAACCAACAGUUCUAGGUGCUGAUUUAUUAGCUCCAUACUCAUCAGGUGCAGGGAGCUUCUCUUGUUUCAUUUGCUUCCAUCCUGAAGAUGUUUGACAA